AACGAGGCUUUACGCACCAAUCCGACUGCAGUGUCAGGGGACAGUACCUCAGUUUCCCACAGACGCUUAAAAUUCAGAACGCUGUUCCUCAUCUACUGUUAUGUGUCUAUUCUUGCUGGUGCCCUUAUCCUCCCUGCCAAGACACGCAUGCAAAUGAAGCGUACACGGGGAGAACAUGCAAACUCCAUACAGACUGACCCCCUAGGCUGGAUUCAAACCUAGGACCCUGGCACUGUGAAGCAUCAGUGCUAACCACUAUACCACUGUGCUGCCCUCAACCAUGUUCUCCAACCUUUUAAAUGGUAAUUAAAUGAUAGGCCAGCUUUGACUUUUUUACAGUCCAGAGAUCGCUAGCUUCCAUCAUUUUCUCCAUCACAGAUUUGCUAGAAACUCCACCAGAAGAAAACAGUUGCUCAUUGAGGACAUGGAAAAAAUGGUAAAAAAAAAGGAUAUUUUGUCUUCUCUUCAUAAUGGUUUGAAAUGAUAACAUACUGAUUUAAUGUAUCACAUUGUCUCAGGAUAACAAAAAAAAAUUUUGAGCAUUUUACAGCCCUGAAGAAUUACCCUGAUUUGAAUUAACCACUUGAACAGGUAAUCCUGAGAUAACAGCAGCAAGAUGGUUAACCCUUUGCGUUCCUAUGUCUGACCAUGUCCGACAUUACAAUUUUCCCUUUCCUGUCCGAUGUCGGACCCUGUCCGACAUCA